rnacentral:lncRNA from 1 species
UGAAAUCAUCAUAUUGGUGAAUAUGAAAAAAAAUGUAAAACUACAUCUAAUAUAAUAUUUAAAAUAAAAACUUUUAAACACACACAAAAAGUUUAUAAGAACAUAAUCAAAUCAAAAUUAACUAAAGUAAAUAGAAAAUUAAAAAAAAUCAUUAUGCUUCUUAAAAAUAAACUAUGUAAAUUAAAUCUAAUAUAAAACUGAAAAAAAAAUCUUUAAAAAUCACAAAAAAAUUAUAAGAACACAAUCAAACUAAAGUUAACUAAAUUAAAUAGAAACCUAAAAACCCAACAUUGUUAAUAAAGUUAAUAGUGACUUUAGUGUUAGGAUUUUAGAAUUUUUUAUAUUGCUAGUAUGUUUUAAUUCAAAUAAUAACAAAAAGAUAUUGGCUUCUCGGUUCGGUUUAGCUCGAUUUGGUUCAGAUCGGUUUCGGUUUGGAUGUUUCGGGUUGGAAAAAUCUUAAAUCAAACUAUUUGAUGAAAGACUUUAGUUUGGUUUGGAUCAAUUUCAGUUCGGUUGGUUUAAUUUUAUAGGUUCAGUUUGUUUUUUUUACCAGCCGACAGAUUUUGAUUUUUUGGAGUUUUCUUUUUAUUUGUUUCCUACAUACUAUAUACAAAGUAAAAUAUAGUAUUUGAUUUUGCGAUUGUAUUUUUAUUGGUUAACCUAUAUUUUUCAAAUACUAAAUGAUUUUUAAUGUAAAGUAUAAAAUAAAAUCCCCCUAUACAUUAAAAGAGAAGUCACUUUAGUGAUUUCUGCUGAGGUGGCACUCAUAUAGAGCUUCUCAGGAAAAACGUUAUAAUUCUAUUGGCUGUUUUUUUUUGAAUUUUUUUUUAUUUAUUUUAAUCAAUCGCUUAUGUAGACAAGCCCAAAACUAUUGUCGAUUUCGUUAAGCCCAUAUAUAGCUAGGGGAUAAUAAUUAUCGAUUUAGUUUAGCCUUGAGUACCCGUUCGGGUUCGGAUCCGGUAUUUCAGAUUUUCGGGUAUUUCGGUAUAGAGGUGUAGAACCCGUUCGGGUAUUUCUGUACUUCGGGACGGGUUCGGGUAUUUUUAGUUCGGAUUCGUUUAUUUCGGAUCUGGUUCAGAUAUUUAGAUUUUCUUAAAAAAAAUACAAUUUUUAUUUCUCAAGUUUCUUAUAUUUAAAAAUAUAACUUUCAGUUAACUAAUUUUUUAUUUUUAAUAGAUUGACUAGUUAAUAGAUUUGGACAUAACAUUUUAAAACUAAAAAGGCAUUAAUUUAGUUAUUUUGUUUAAAUUUCGGAUGUAACUUUUUGUUAAUUUUUUAAAUAAAAAACUUGACAUGCAUUUUAAUUGAGUAGCAAAUCAUUUUUUUUGUAAUUGUAUGUAUAUCAUAUGAACUUAAAGUAUGUGUAGUAUCAAUAUAAAUAUUUUAUAUAAAAUGAGAGAUGUAAAC